CCCGCUCAGAACUUAAAGGAAUUGACGGGGACCCGCACAAGCAGCGGAGCAUGUGGUUUAAUUCGAAGCAACGCGAAGAACCUUACCAGAUCUUGACAUCCAAUUGACCAUCUUUUAAUCGAGAUUUUGCCUUCGGGUACAAUUGAGACAGGUGGUGCAUGGUUGUCGUCAGCUCGUGUCGUGAGAUGUUGGGUUAAGUCCCGCAACGAGCGCAACCCUUGUGUUUAGUUGCCAUCAGGUAAUGCUGGGGACUCUAAAGGAACUGCCUACGCAAGUAGUGAGGAAGGCGGGGAUGACGUCAAAUCAGCACGGCCCUUACGUCCAGGGCUACACACGUGCUACAAUGGCCGAUACAGAGGGCAGCUACCUGGUGACAGGAUGCAAAUCUCCAAAGUCGGUCUCAGUUCGGAUCGGAGUCUGCAACCCGACUCCGUGAAGUUGGAUUCGCUAGUAAUCGCGCAUCAGCCAUGGCGCGGUGAAUACGUUCCCGGGCCUU
rnacentral:rRNA from 1 species